rnacentral:rRNA from 1 species
CCUACGGGUGGCAGCAGUGGGGAAUAUUGCACAAUGGGGGAAACCCUGAUGCAGCGACGCCGCGUGAGUGAAGAAGUAUUUCGGUAUGUAAAGCUCUAUCAGCAGGGAAGAAAAUGACGGUACCUGAUUAAGAAGCCCCGGCUAACUACGUGCCAGCAGCCGCGGUAAUACGUAGGGGGCGAGCGUUAUCCGGAUUUACUGGGCGUAAAGGGAGCGUAGGCGGCCGAAUAAGUCUGGAGUGAAAUGCCGGGGCUUAACCUCGGAGCUGCAUUGGAAACUGUGCGGCUAGAGUGCAGGAGAGGUAAGUGGAAUUCCUAGUGUAGCGGUGAAAUGCGUAGAGAUUAGGAAGAACACCAGUGGCGAAGGCGGCUUACUGGACUGUAACUGACGUUGAGGCUCGAAAGCGUGGGGAGCAAACAGGAUUAGAUACCCUAGUAGUC